GCGGAAGUGGCGGAAUUGGUAGACGCACCAGAUUUAGGUUCUGGCGCCGCAAGGUGUGAGAGUUCAAGUCUCUCCUUCCUCACCA
rnacentral:tRNA from 1 species